GAUGAACGCUGGCGGCGUGCUUAACACAUGCAAGUCGAACGGUGAACACGGAGCUUGCUCUGUGGGAUCAGUGGCGAACGGGUGAGUAACACGUGAGCAACCUGCCCCUGACUCUGGGAUAAGCGCUGGAAACGGCGUCUAAUACUGGAUAUGUGACGUGAUCGCAUGGUCUGCGUCUGGAAAGAAUUUCUGUUGGGGCUGGGCUCGCGGCCUAUCAGCUUGUUGGUGAGGUAGUUGCUGACCCAGGCGUCGACGGAUGGCCGACCUGAGAGGGUGACCGGCCACACUGGGACUGAGACACGGCCCAGACUCCAACGGGAGGCAGCGGUGGAGAAUAUUGCACAACAGGCGCAAGCCUGAUGCAGAAGCGCCGCGUGAGGAAUGACGGCCUUCGGGGUAUAAACCUCUUUUAGCAGAGAAGAAGCGAAAUUGACGGUACCUACAGAAAAAGCGCCGGCUAACUACGUG
rnacentral:rRNA from 1 species